AAUUUUUUGGCCUUUAAAACUUCUCGAUCGGUUCCGACUGGAUUGGGUUUUCAAUUUCGUGAGAGUGGAUUUGUUAGCUCCAGUUUGAACCAGAGCCUUUGCAUGGAACCAGAGCCUUUCCAUGCUCGAGCUCCACAGGGUAUGUCAGAAUAAUGAAGGACCUAAGAGAGCUUUAUUUGGAAGUAGAAGUCAAGGUUGAUCCUGUUGUUUCAUUUUGUUUGUAGAAGUCAAUCAAAUGCUUUGCUGAAACAUCCAAUAAGAAGAAUAAAAUAACUCUGAUUGCAGAGCCAUUGGAGAGAGGACUUGCGGAGGACAUUGAGAAUGUAUAUAAGCUACAGUGUUCGUUUCUGCAAUGCAGUUCGAUUUUGCCUCUUCUGGACUCUUCUACUUCAUUUUUGUCUCUCUGGGAAGGGAAAGGUCUGGAUGUACUCCUGUUCUCCUCUCUCUCUCUCCGUCUGUGUUUGCGCAUGGCUAUCAGGUUUUCUUGGACGACAGCAGAUACCUGCAGCGAAAGAAAUCUCACCCUGCGGCACCGCCUCUCACGGAACCACCGCCGCCACCAUCUUUCGGCUCGAAUUUUGUGGGUUCUGAAGAGCAGCAGCGACAUGCAAAUAUGUGCCUGAUCUUCCACUGGAGCAUCCAAAUUUUACAGUUGUGUAUCAAAUGACAGCAACCUUUACAAAUUCAAAAUUUGAAGCCAAGAUACCACCGUCCAUAUACUUGCAACCCAAAUAUUGUUAAAAACGAAGAAACAAUGUAAAAAUCCAAAUUUUACAUUUGGUUAUAGCUUUUGUGUAAACGGAGCUUCCACUGAGCUCUUAGUUCUGGAGAGUGCUCUGUGGAAACAGCAAUGCAAGGGCAGGAUCUGAUCGGUAGCACUCAAACAGGGGAUCUUAGGGCUGUGCAAAAUGGUGUACAAAAUUGCACGAGUUGGAAUUGUGAAACCAAGUCAACUCUCACUUAGAAGGGUUAACGAUUCACAAGCAUGAAAAUUCAAGCUCGGGCGGUACCCCCAUUUCAAGGCAAAUGAGACCAUUCGACGAUGCGCAAAGGCUUUGGGCGGAAUUGCUCCUAUAUUCGUCAUUGGAUGAAGAAUGGCGGAAGGAAGAAAGGGCUACAUAACUCCUUGGUCGCUCUUCUUCUUCUUCUUCUUCUUCCUGGAUAUUGGAUGAUGAGCCCCAAAUCAUCCACCGCACCCUAAAACCCUAGUAAAGGGCUAAGGAAAAGUUGGAUUUUGAAUUUGGAAUCGGCCAUCCCCAAAAUCAUAUCCACCCAAAACCCUAAAAAAAACCCCUUUCCUUUUCCUUGAAAGUGGCAGAUUCAGCUGAUUCUCACAAGAUUACAGGUGCAAGCGUGAUAGAAUAUGAGAUUGCUUGUGCCCAAUCUGAAGGUAACCACUACGCUUUCGACACACCGAGACAAGUAACUGUCUUCUUUGAAGACGGAAAAGCAGUGGAGUCUACCUUGGU
rnacentral:sRNA from 1 species